UUUUUUUUUUCUUCUUUUUUUUGCAAUUUCUUGGGCCGCUCUAGCGGCAUACGGAGGUUCCCAGAAUAAUUUAACAGUAAAAAUAGCACACAUAAAGGUGGAAAGAUUUUUAAAAUUUGAAAUAGUUACAGUUUUUGGUCUUAGGAUAUACUGGACUGACAUGAAGCUUGAACCUGAGAAAUAACUAUUUAAAUAAACAACAGGCAAAGUACAACCUCAGGCAAGUUAACUAAACAUCACCUUCUCAAGUCAAAGGGUCCCCAGGAAAGCAAGUCUCAGAGAAGUGCCCCAAAGGAGCCGAGGAGCACGCCUUCUCCUGUCUUAAUUCCCUUUACUGAGAAUCACCGAAAGCAACGCCAAGACCCGGGCUGGGGAAAUUCUGGAAAGAAAAAAAGAGCCCUGAAGAGCCAAAGAUCAGAGAGGAGCCAGGUCCCAGCCCACCCCAGGGAGCUCCUGAGCCCUCCUUGCUGCCCGCUGGCAUCCGGGGUCUGAGGACAGGCGCUCUGGGCAAGGAGGGGGCACCCACGAGAAAGAAGCCAACCCCGUGCGCGGACUCAGUCCGGAGAGCAGGGACGCUGCGCACUCGGCGCCAGAGCGGAGAACGCGGGGCUCGGUCCACGCCAAGUCCUUCCUCCGCGACCCUCGUUACCGCCCGGAGCGCUUCAACGAGGCCCUAGUUUUGCACGACCCCACACUCGGGUCCUCGCACGUUAGGAGCUCAGGGAGGAAAAUCUGUCUCCCCCCUUCCUGUUCCUGUGCCCCGGGUCAUGCCUCGGCUCCAUCCGGACCCAGGCCCGCUCUGGUUCGGCGCAGAACCGAGCGGGGCCAGCACGCCCCCCGUGCGGGGCCAGCCAGCGAGUGUCCGGGGCUCUGCGGGCCUCAGGCCGUCUCUAUUCCGGCUUCGCUCUCCUCCCAAACGUCCCCUGACGGCUCUAGGGCGGGACGGGAACAGGCCAGCGGGGCGUGGCCCACGGGCCUGCUCUCUGCCAACCCCAGGCCUCCAGUCCAGCUGACCCUAACCCCACCCAGAAUGUGCUUCUAAGGCCGUCCUGGUGACUCGAGUCUUUUGCAGGUUCCCCUUAAUCCACAGGCGGGCUCCCCGCCCCAACUCGGCUCCCGUCCCCGGGGGGCGUCACCCCAGCUGCUCUGAGGGCGGCUGCAGCUGGCGAGCAUGACCAGGCCCACUCCCGGGGACACGCAGGAAAGCCGAGGGCACCUGCAGCUUCGGCGGCUCUAAGAGGGCCGGUCACGAGGCCAGAAAAGGACAGGGAACAGUGGCGACCAGGCAGGAGGCAGGACCCGGCGAGCUCUCGCUCCCGAUUCUGGAGGGCGUCACUCAUCUCGGGCAGGACCCUUGCUGGACUAAAGCUGUGUGUGCACAGAGCUGAGAGAGCUGUCAAGGAAUCCCAGGAAACUGUCGAAAUAACAUAGCCCAACAAAAGGGCUCUUUUCCAAGACACCCUGCAGGCUGCUGGGCGGCGUGGCUGCAGUUCACUGAACUCCCCCUCGGGAGGCCCCGCUGCCUACCGGCUGGGCUGUCCCAGGGUCCCAGGGCGGGGCUGCCAAGACCUCACUCUGCGAAAGCAGCCGUCGGAAGAUCACUUUCGUUUUCAAACAAGGUUUGGGGAGGCACCACCUGAAGUUUAAUAUUCAAAUAAAACCACAGAUGUGGAGCUCCC
ensembl:lncRNA